GAUGAAUGCUGGCGGCGUGCCUAACACAUGCAAGUCGAGCGGCAGCGCGUCUAGUUUACUAGAUGGCGGCGAGCGGCGGACGGCUGAGUAACGCGUGGGAACGUGCCCCAAAGUGAGGAAUAACUGCCCGAAAGGGUAGCUAAUGCCGCAUAUGGUCUUCGGAUUAAAGUACUUAUACGCUUUGGGAGCGGCCCGCGUCGGAUUAGGUUGUUGGUGAGGUAAUGGCUCACCAAGCCGACGAUCCGUAGCUGGCCUGAGAGGAUGAUCAGCCAGACUGGAACUGAGACACGGUCCAACUCCUACGGGAGGCAGCAGUGAGGAAUCUUCCACAAUGGGCGAAAGCCUGAUGGAGCAACGCCGCGUGCAGGAUGAAGGCCUUCGGGUCGUAAACUGCUUUUAUAAGUGAAGAAUAUGACGGUAACUUAUGAAUAAGCACCGGCUAACUACGUGCCAGCCGCCGCGGUAA
rnacentral:rRNA from 1 species